GGGGUUGUGGCUCAGAGGUAGAGCACUUGCCUGGCAUGCAUGAGACAGUGGGUUCAAUCCUCAGCACCA
rnacentral:tRNA from 1 species